rnacentral:snRNA from 1 species
AAAGGUGAGAUUCGCCUACAGUU